rnacentral:rRNA from 1 species
GCUUGCCAGCCCGCUCAGAAACUUAAGGAAUUGGACGGGGGCCCGCACAAGCGGCGGAGCAUGUGGAUUAAUUCGAUGCAACGCGAAGAACCUUACCUGGGUUUGACAUACACCGGAAAACCGUAGAGAUACGGUCCCCCUUGUGGUCGGUGUACAGGUGGUGCAUGGCUGUCGUCAGCUCGUGUCGUGAGAUGUUGGGUUAAGUCCCGCAACGAGCGCAACCCUUGUCUUAUGUUGCCAGCACGUGAUGGUGGGGACUCGUAAGAGACUGCCGGGGUCAACUCGGAGGAAGGUGGGGACGACGUCAAGUCAUCAUGCCCCUUAUGUCCAGGGCGACACACGUGCUACAAUGGCCGGCACAACGGGAAGCGAGUUCGCGAGGACGAGCGGAUCCCUCAAAGCCGGUCGCAGUUCGGAUUGAAGUCUGCAACUCGACUUCAUGAAGCUGGAAUCGCUAGUAAUCGUGGAUCAGCCAAGCCGCGGUGAAUACGUUCCCGGGCCUU